rnacentral:rRNA from 1 species
GAUGAACGCUGGCGGCGUGCCUAAUACAUGCAAGUCGAGCGAACAGACGAGGAGCUUGCUCCUCUAACGUUAGCGGCGGACGGGUGAGUAACACGUGGAUAACCUACCUAUAAGACUGGGAUAACUUCGGGAAACCGGAGCUAAUACCGGAUAAUAUAUUGAACCGCAUGGUUCAAUAGUGAAUGACGGUUUUGCUGUCACUUAUAGAUGGAUCCGCGCCGCAUUAGCUAGUUGGUAAGGUAACAGCUUACCAAGGCAACGAUGCGUAGCCGACCUGAGAGGGUGAUCGGCCACACUGGAACCGAGACACGGUCCAGACUCCUACGGGAGGCAGCAGUAGGGAAUCUUCCGCAAUGGGCGAAAGCCUGACGGAGCAACGCCGCGUGAGUGAUGAAGGUCUUCGGAUCGUAAAACUCUGUUAUUAGGGAAGAACAAAUGUGUAAGUAACUAUGCACGUCUUGACGGUACCUAAUCAGAAAGCCACGGCUAACUACGUGCCAGCAGCCGCGGUAA